UACGAAGGGGGCUAGCGUUGUUCGGAAUUACUGGGCGUAAAGCGCACGUAGGCGGACUAUUAAGUCAGGGGUGAAAUCCCGGGGCUCAACCCCGGAACUGCCUUUGAUACUGGUAGUCUCGAGUCCGGAAGAGGUGAGUGGAAUUCCGAGUGUAGAGGUGAAAUUCGUAGAUAUUCGGAGGAACACCAGUGGCGAAGGCGGCUCACUGGACCGGAACUGACGCUGAGGCGCGAAAGCGUGGGGAGCAAACAGG
rnacentral:rRNA from 1 species